rnacentral:rRNA from 1 species
UACGGAGGGGGCAAGCGUUAUUCGGAUUUACUGGGCGUAAAGGGUGCGUAGGCGGUCGCGCAAGUCUGAUGUGAAAUCUUCACCACUCAACGGGAAGAGGUCAUUGGAAACUGCACGACUUGAGUUUGGUAGAGGCUAGCGGAAUUCCUGGUGUAGCGGUGGAAUGUGUAGAUAUCAGGAAGAACACCUGUGGCGAAGGCGGCUAGCUGGGCCAAUACUGACGCUGAGGCACGAAAGCGUGGGGAGCAAACGGG